AGCCCCGUGGUGUAGAGUGCAAACGCAGAAUGGUCAAGCAUAAGAGCCUCUGGAGCUCUAGACCCCAGUUCGAAUCUGGGCGGGGCUA
rnacentral:tRNA from 1 species